AGUGUAUGGGAAGUAGUCAAGAAGUCCACAGUGUUUUUCUACUGGUACUGAACGUCAUACUCUGCCCACUGUGUUCUCUUCUAAACAGUAUGUGGUCCUGAACUUCCCACUAGCGUUAAGAAGUUUACCUUCCACAUUCCCUGUGGGUUUAUAGCCUAAUUGCUUUAGCAGAGAGGAGGAAGAGUGUGUGUGUGUGCAUGUGUGUGCGCACCCAUGUGUGUGAGGUCAGAGAGGGAUCGAAUCCACACCACGUGAUGUCAUAACAACAUCUCAUUGUGUAAUUUGUUUUGUUUGUUCCAGGCAUUUCAGUAAAGCAUCACUCAACACAAACAGUUAUGCUGUGUGGAGAUUUGGGUCGGGGUCAACAGGGUAAUGGUCGAGCGGAGAAACUUCCAUCGUCUUUCAUCUUUGACGGUUAUACAUAUUGUCUUUUAUCUCAAUCAGAAUACAAGCCCAGUUUGUUUGCAGAACUGUGAAAUGUUUGCAAUUAUUCUGAGAAAUGAAGGACAAUUUUCAGGGGUUCUAGAGAGGAGCUGUGUUGGACGAUGAUGGAGAGCAUGAAAGAACCGCAUGCUGUUUGAAAUAACAAGGGAGAGUAAUAUAUGGUGUCAGCGUCUGUCUCUACCUUAACGCUGUGUUCUGCUGAGAUGUGAGAGGUCGAGUUGACCCCACCAUGAAGAGGCCCAUGAGGAGGAACACCAGGUGGAGUCCUACUACACACAUCCCUGUGGAUAUUCCGGGUCAGGGAAUGGCAGCAUGGAGACACAAAGUAAGCAUGAAAGAACCUGCUUGGAUUGACAUGAAGAAAAGAAUAUAUCAAAGGAAAAGACCCGGAGCGCCGGGAACAGAAUAGGAAUCUCUGGCCUCCAAGGGAAGGACUCAUCCACCCAUCCCCCAUAUUGGAUUUACAUAAAUUCCACAAAAUCACCAGGAGAUACAAUCUUGUGUGGUUCUCUGUUACGGGGUCACUGCAUUUGAAUGGAGAUCUACUUGAGAGUCAGAGUAGCAGAAGAAAAAAAAGCUUUCCAUUUUCCAGUUGUCAUGCAAUACAUAGCUUAAGUGGGUUGGCUCCGCAAAGUCAGUCGUGACAGGAAAAUGCCAGGCUUUCUGCACCAUUUAUUGAAAAUAAUGAUAGUGGCAACGAAAAUACGAUUUAGAGGUCACUUCCCCAUGGCAUGCGUUCAUCCAGUCACUCGCCCUAUUUAAAGACCAAGAUGGCCUCUUAUUCGCAGUAAAUCCUGAUCUGAAGUAGCGAGCUGGGAUAAUGGUCAUAGAGAACAAUCAUGUCACUUCUCUCCUUUUGUAAUUGAGGGAGCUGUAGAACGCUGGCCACUCAAUAUAGCAGUAGUGCUGCCACAUCUGGCAUAGGCUAAUUCAAUUACCAUGAGGUUGUAAGUAGCAAGAACAUUUCCCAGGACAUAGACAUAUCUGAUAUUGGCAGAAAGCUUAAAUUAUUGUUAAUCUAACUGCACUGUCCAAUUACAGUAGCUAUUACAGUGAAAGAAUACCAUGCUAUUGUUUGAGGAGAGUGCACAAUUUUGAACAUGAAAAGUUAUUAAUAAACAAAUCAGGCACAUUUGGGCAGUCUUGAUACAACAUUUUGAACAGAAAUGAAAUGGUUGAUUGGAUCAGUCUAAAACGUUGCACAUACACUGCUGCCAUCUACUGACCAAAAUCGAAAUGGCACCUGGGCUGGAAUAAUACAUUAUGGCCUUUCUCUUGAAUUUCAAAGAUGGUACAAAGAAAAUAUAAAGAACGGUUGGUUUCUUCUUUGUAUUAUCUUUUACCAGAUAUAUUGUGUUAUAUUCUCCUAGAUUCCUUUCACAUUUCCACAGACUUCAAAACGUUUCCUUUCAAAUGGUACCAAGAAUAUGCAUAUCCUUGCUUCAGGGCCUGAGCUACAGGCAGUUCGUUUUGGGUAUGUCAUUUUAGGGGAAUUUUAUUAUUAUGAUUUUUUUUUUUAAAGGGGCUGAUCCUUAUUAAAUCUUAGGUGUGGAAAUGUGCUUAAACCAAAGACUGUGGAAACUAUUUAGUUCAUUAUCUCUCCUUGAACCUCAUGGGCUGACCAACAGUGUUUUAAAUAGUGAUUUAAAGACAGUGUCAAGCACAGCAGCAAUCUCUUGUCUGACAGGGCUUUAGAUAAAGAUGUAAUUACGGAGUUAGUCCUCUUACAGGUCCAUAGCAUCAGGUAAUUAGACCAAUAGAAAAUGUAUUAUCUAUUUAAACAUAUUUGAUUCUAUUUAAGGUCAAUAGUUAUUAGUCUGUAAUGGACGACUGAAAUAUUAUACAGUACUUUGAACUGUUUUGAACCUGGCCCUUUGAAUGAGUGUUUUUAAAUAAAAUGCUUUGUUGCUAAAUAAUUGCUUGGCACAAGGUUGUAUUUAAGAAACUGGUCCUAACAUGUGAGCCCAUCUCCAU
rnacentral:lncRNA from 8 species